AGUCGUUGUCUAAAGGCAAUGGGAAGCAAGAUGGCUCAGCUUGGGAAGUUGGCUAUAUAGUAAGACCUUGUCUAAAAAGAAAAUUAGCCAGGUGGCUCUCGCCUUUAAUCCCAGCACUCGGGAGGCAGAGGCAGGCGCAUCUCUGUGAGUUCAAGGCCAGCCUGGUCUCCAGAGCGAGGUUCCAGGACAGGCUUUAAAGCUACACAGAGAAACCCUGUCUCAAAACAUAAAUAAAUAAAUGUUUUAAGUAGUCCCAUCCUGGCCCCUUAUCUGAACCUGGCAGGAAUCUCUUCAUAUUUAAACAGAAAUGGGUCCCCCAUUAGUACACUGUCCUUUGGCUACUGGACAUCAUCCCAGGAAGAAUAUUCCUGUGAAGAAAUAGCAGGGCACUAUAUCUCUAAGCCUGCUGCCAAGCCUGAAGUACGGACCACUCCAGACAAGUCCAAAGCUGAGCCCACUGUACCACAGAACCCCACGAAAGCCCAGAAGUCCCCUGUCCAUCUCUCCAACAGCUGCAGCCCAUUAAGCUGUUAGUGCCCCCUCGGUGAUGACGAGAUCCUGUACAGCCAGUGUGGGGAGGGAUGGCGGGCCUGGGUCUGCUGGUGCUUAGGUGCUCAAAGUUCAGGGAAAGCCCAGAAGUGAAGAGCGGGAAUAUUCCUGCCCACGUUCCAGGCAGCGGCCAAGAACUGAGACCAAGCCGCAUACAAGAACCACUUGAAGGGUCUUCACAUGGGAAAGAGAGGAAUGGCGAAGUCCCAGGCACAGAGCUCCCACGGGGAGGACCACCCCGGGCCAACAAUGGCUGUUUCAAAAUGUGAGGCCUUCCUAGGCCUCUGAGCUCCACGGGGGGAAAUAGACGUGUUUCGAGACCCUGAAGUCCUGCCCUGGACGAAAGUACGAGGGUUGUUUGAAUUGAACCAUAGGGUAAGCAGACUUGCGGGCCCAGAAAUAGACGUAUUUCUGGAACCCUUGGUUCCUGGACGAAAGUCCAAGGGUUGUUUGUAAUUUUGGUUUGGGGCACCAUUUCUUUGCCGCGGUUUGUGCUGUCUAAUGUCUGUCCACGUUUCAUAUUUGUGUUUUGUGUUUGUUAAGCAUCUCUUUCUGUCCCUACUGCCCACGCACAUGGCAUGCAUGGGUCAGGGGGUCUUUUCUUGAUGCUCUGAGCACGUGGCGCCACCUCAACUGUGAUCGGCAGAUGCCUGGAGGACAGACUGCUUCUCUGAGGACACCCAGGAGGUACGAACGGAGGCCAAGGACUUGGAUCCUCCUCAGUUGGCGGUGAUUUAGCCACCGCGUUCUGCCGCCCGUCUUCCCGGCGCCAUUGCCUUAUAAGCGGUGCCAGCAGAUUGGGUUGGCGUCUGUUCUUUCCUGUCUAUUCUGUGUUGUCAUCAUUGGUUUUCAAUUCAGGAUCCACCACACCACCCCCUUUCUAUCCCCACCUUCGGGUCUGUGAGGCAUGCCAAGUGGGGCUGUUUCUGCCCCAGCUGCCGUCACGGGUGUUUCCCUGCUCUAAGGGAACAUGGCUGCAAGGCCGCCAUCUGCCUGGCUACCCAUCUUUCUGUGCUCCACACACAUGGUAUGCAGGAGGGCCUCGGGGGUCUUUUUCCCACCCCUGCAUUGGCCGAGGGUCUGGGGUUACCAGCAGCACCCCCACUUCAGGUCUCUCUGCCUUGAGCACAUGGAGCUAGGAUGUAUGAACUUAUCUGGUCUGAUCCGGACUUCUUAAAAAAAAAAAAAAAAGAAAAGAAAAGAAAAAAGAAAAAAGGCCUUAAAGUUAUUAAGAACUGUAAAAGGGACUUUGAUAAAAUUUUUAUGUUGACUAAAAAAUGAAAAAAAAAAUGUAAGAGAGAAAGGAAAAGGGAAAUUUGCCUAAGAAUGUCUAAGAAAGUCAGAGGAAUGAACUAAAAGGUUAUAGAGAGCUAAAGCAAGUCGUAGAAGGUCAGAGAAAAGGUUGUUACAAGUCAGAG
ensembl:lncRNA